rnacentral:rRNA from 1 species
CUACGGGUGGCUGCAGUGGGGAAUUUUGGACAAUGGGGGCAACCCUGAUCCAGCCAUGCCGCGUGAGUGAAGAAGGCCUUCGGGUUGUAAAGCUCUUUCAGCCGGGAAGAAAUCGCAUGGGUCAAUACCCUGUGCGGAUGACGGUACCGGAAUAAGAAGCACCGGCUAACUACGUGCCAGCAGCCGCGGUAAUACGUAGGGUGCGAGCGUUAAUCGGAAUUACUGGGCGUAAAGCGUGCGCAGGCGGAUGCUUAAGUCAGAUGUGAAAUCCCCGGGCUUAACCUGGGAAUUGCAUUUGAAAAUGGGUGUCUAGAGUGCGUCAGAGGGGGGUGGAAUUCCACAUGUAGCAGUGAAAUGCGUAGAUAUGUGGAGGAACACCAAUGGCGAAGGCAGCCCCCUGGGAUGACACUGACGCUCAUGCACGAAAGCGUGGGGAGCAAACAGGAUUAGAUACCCCCGUAGUC